rnacentral:lncRNA from 1 species
UCCCUGGGCAGAUCUCCCACUUGAACGGGAUCGAGCCUGGCCUCCUGCACGAGUCGUCGAUCGCUGCUGCCAUUGUUGCUGGUGCUUCUUUGAUCUUCUCUCCUCUAACACAUCUGAAUUCUGAUCAAUGAUCGUGCCUGCUUUACUACAUGUAAGUAUAUAAGUAUAUAUAUAUAUAUAUAGAGAGAGAGAGAGAGAGAGGAGGGUGGUGGUCUGGUGGAGUGUGCUGAGCUAUGAUUCAGGAGUGAUUGGAGGGGGUGGCCGGAUUGGAUCGGAUAUCGGAGACACUGGUAGUGGUGGAUUAUCUUAACUUUGUUAGGGUAUGUUUGGUUACGGACAAUAAAGUUUAUCAUCCAUUAUUUUAAAUGUUUGGACAUGUAAAGUAAUAAAUAUAGAUUAUUUAUGAAAAUUACAAUAUGGUUAGAAAGUAAUUUGUAAGAUAAAUCUUUUUCGACUAAUUAAUUUAUGAUUGAAUACUAAUUAAUUACCAGAUAAAAUAAAAAUACUACAGUACGUGUUUAACAACCCUAACUAGACACCCGCUUAGUGCGGUGGUCAGCUUGGCGUGGCAUGGAGAUUGGGGGCGAGGGACUGGAUGGAUUGAUCGGCUUACCGGCCGGCCGGCCGGCAGUUUGGCACUGAGCGGCACGCCACUAAGUGGCGAGCUAACUGAAUUUCUUCGUGGGGCUCCAUGUUCUGAACGUUGACUUCGUGCAUGCCCCGAUACCGGACAUUCAGACAGGUUGAUUUUUUUUCUUUGCUAAAAGAAAGGGACAAGUUGAAUUUUUUUUGUGGGGGAUUAUUACAUAAUUUAUACAUUUUAGGCGGAUGGACACGUUGAGUUAGGCGGGGAUUGGGGUGGCGGCGUCGUGACGGGGGUUGACAAAGAUGAACCGAUGCAAAGCCGGCACGUCCCGCUGGUCAUUGGUUCACACUUGUAGUAGCACUAGCAGGUCGGCCUCGCAUAGUGCGAUGCGAAUUAGGCAUUCAAAAACCCAAAAUUUUUCAAGAUUUCCCAUCACAUCGAAUCUUUACACAUACAUGGAGUAUUAAAUAUAGACAAAAAUAAAAACUAAUUGCACAGUUUAGUCGAAAUUUUGAGCCUAGUUAGUCAAUGGUUGGACAAUAAUUACCACAAACAAAUGAAAGUGCUACAGUGUCACAAAAAAUUUUACUGCAGGAACUAAACAAGGCCUUAAUGGGAUGUUCUUACAUCAGAUGUCUUGCUCCAUCGUCGCUGAUUACUGCUCCCUUUGUCUAAAAAAACAUACUAGGAUGGCCUUGUUUAUUUCAAGAAAAGAAAAUUUUUAGAUAUAACAUAUAGACUAAUAAAAAAAUAAAUUACAUAGCUUGGUUGGAAACUAUGAGAUAAAUUUUUUAAGCCUAAUAAAUCCGUCAUUAGCGCAUGUUUGUUAUUGUAGCAAUUAUGGCUAAUUAUGGACUAAUUAAGCUUAAAAGAUUCGUCUCGCGAUUUACAACCAAACUAUGCAAUUUGUUUUUUCGUCUAUAUUUAAUGCUUCAUACAUGUGUCAAAAAAUUUGAUGAGAUGUAUAAAAAGUUUUUUGGUGGAAAACUAAACAAAGCCUUAGUGUCUGUUUCGAUAUGAGGAUUAAUCAUUUGCUAGCUAAAACUAACCUAAAUUAGCUCUAUUUUGUGUUUAGAUAGGAGGGCUAAUCUUUAGACAAGUCUUUUAGCUGGUUGUUAGCCAAGUUUCAAAAAAAAACUAGUUGUUAGCCAACUAGCUAGUCGACCCUGGCUAAUUUAAGCUAAUUUUUAGCCCAACUAGUAACCAGCUUAGCUCAUCCAAAUAGACACUGGUUUUGUCUUUUAAGUCAAACUAUCUAAAGUUUGACCAACCUUGUACACUAUAAUACUAAUUAAGAUUGUUAGAUUCAUAAUGUGUAUACCUAUUUGGUGCAAUAAAUUUUAGCAAAUUUCUCUAUAGAUUUGGUCGGACUUAAAAUAGGUGGUUGCUAUGGUGCCAAGUGUACAAUUAACAAACCAAAGGGACCAUUUUGUGUGGGGGCUACAUCAGAAUGGAUGCUUUUCAGUAAAAUCCAUGUACAGAGCCUUGUUAGGAUGUGAAGCGAUACCGUACAAUGGCCAUGUUUGGAUCCAUGGGUUAGAGUUAGAUUUAGCUAUUUGGGACUCAAAUAGCCCUAAAGUAUUCAAACAUGAGGGUUAGAUUGGGGUUAUUUACAUCUAACCCACCCCAAAAAACUAUCCCCCCAAAGAGGUGCUUAUUUAGGCUAUUUGGGGCGAUUUGAGGCGGGACCCACAGGGAAAGGGAUCGGCUGUGUCACACGGGAUCCCUACUCGCGAUGCCUCCCAGCCACAACCCUGCCCGGUCACCAGCACUGUCGUCUCCCAGCUCGCCUCUCCGCUGCCUCUCAACCGUGCCGCCACCUCCAAGUUGCGUCGCCCGCCUCCCAACCGUGUCGCCGCCUCCCAACAAUGGCAAAACAGCCCACAAGGUACCAUAUGGAGCAAUGGCAAAAUAGCCCGCCGCUAGCAAUGGCAAAACGACAUGCAAGAUACUAUGUGGAGCAAUGUCAUUUGUGAGCGGGAGGAGGCCACACAACAGCCGCCCACACCAAAUCUAGCUAGGAAGGAGCUAAAUGAAUGGAAAAGUACAUUUAUUGUCAAUCUAACUCUUACAUCCAAACACCUCUUUGGUUAGAGUUAGUUGAGGGCUAGUCAUGAGCUAGAGAAUAACUCUAACCUCUAACUUAGUUAGAGUAUCCAAAUAGGGCCAAUAAUUUAAUAUAAAAAUUAAAACUAUCUCUUAAAAUCAAAGUUUAUUGUGGCAUUUGUAUAAAGGAGUAAUUUUAACAAAAGAUAAUCUAGCAAUACGACAUUGGCAAUGAGACAACAAGCUAGCGUAGUUUUUGUUCGUUUGAAGAGACUAUACAACAUCUUCUCUUUGAUUGUCAUUUUGCUAAAUUCGUAUAGCGGAUUAUUCAUAUCUCUCUUAACUUAACUCCUCCAACUAGUGUAUAUAAUAUGUUUAUAGAUUGGUUAUUUGGGUUCAAUGGGAAGUUGAAAUCCAAAAUUCUUGUGGGAGCGGUUGCUUUCUGCUAGGUAAUUUGGUUAACCCGGAAUGACUUAGUUUUUGAUAAGCUCCAAAUUUGCAUGUUAUCUUCACGAGGACCUACUGGAUCAGGUUCUGGUCCUCAUUUAGAAGGAGAGGAUCGCCAAAUAAUGUUGAUGAGGUGCAGAAAAAUUGAGACAACCGGUAUGGAGGUAUUUGCAAGGAAUGGAUGGAGAUUUAUUAAUAGAAUCAUAGUUUAGAUGUUGCUUCGGUUGCUCUUUGCUACUUCCUUUUUGUUUCAAAGCUUUGUUUUUAAGAUUGCGUGGACCUUUGUACGGCUUGUUUGUUAAGGAACAACUAUAUGCAUCGUUGAUGCAGAAGCUGAGAUAUUAAUAUAUUCUCUUUUCUAAAAACUUAAAACUGUUUAACUUAGGAUAAAACUAAAAUAUCAAGUUUUUUGAAUGGAGAGAGAGUAAAAAAUACCUCAUUCGUUGCUGCAGGGAUUAGAAAAAAAUUAAAAAGGACAUGUUUUCAGCAAUUUUAAACCGCAUUGCCUAAAUCAGCUGGGGGCUAUGCAUACGGAUGCUGCCGCACUUGUCAUCAACUAUCCAGGUGAGGAGGAAAACAAUUACAUGUUGCAAUCCACACAUGACACAUCAGACUGUGGGAGGAGGUAUUUCGUGUGAAGCUAAAACUGUGCUGCAUAGUAUUUGAAGGAGCAUUGACAUUCAUAUGGCGUGUGCUAAAUUUUUUUUGUACAACUGUGCAUCAGUAUCACUAAUCCAUUUUUUUCUUUUGCAUCAAAACAACUUGCCUGUGCAUCAAUAUCAUCAAUCCGUUUUUUUUUGGCGAGGUUGUGUGCCAACUGAUGGACGCGGCGCAUCCCGAUGCCAUGCUGAUGCAUAGGUUAACUUCGAUGCCAAGACGGCAGGGUCCUGCAGGAUGUGUUUCAACAAGCUCAAGAGUCAAGAUCACUAAGGUCUACCCUUGUGUUGAAAUCGAUUCAACGAGUUUGCUUCGUGCUCUGAAUGUUCAGUGCUAAUGAGAGUUGAUUCUAGUUGUAUGAUGUGACAUGUGCACAUGUCAUGCAGUAGUGUUAAAGCCUUGUAGGAUCGAUUCCUUUGCUAAUACAAAGAGUUUGAUGAUGCCAUAUUUGUGCUCUAAUUUUUGAAUGCUGUGUUGUUUGGUACCUAUAGAAGAAAAUUGCUAUUCUAGGACUCCCAAACAUGUGACUUUGCUAAAAUAGGAUUCCUAACAUUGACAUCGCUA